rnacentral:rRNA from 1 species
UAAUUAUCUCAAAUAAUAAUUCUAAGUAACAAAUUAUUUACUUAAUUAGUAAGUAAAAUUACUUAGUUAAUUAGUACAAACAAAAUUUCAUAAUAAUUAAAUUAAUAUAAUAUAAUUAAUUUGAAAAAAUGUAUUAGUUUACAAAUUAGAUUAAUCUGAAAUGAUUAUAUAAUAUAUGCUUACAAAUUAUAUGUACUAUUUUAAUUAUUAUCAGUAACAGAUUUAUAAUUAUUAUAGAAUAACUGAUCUAAUUUUAUAAACGUGAUUAUUAAAAUUUUUAAACCCAACGAAUUCAAUUUAGUAACAUCUCAAAAGUCAUAGCAAGGUA